rnacentral:snoRNA from 1 species
UGUGAAUGAUGAAUAUAAGAUGUCAGUUCUGCUACUGAAUAUUUCAUGUAGAUAAUACAUUUGCUUACCAAAAACUUCUGAGAC